GAGGAAUAUUGCACAAUGGGGGAAACCCUGAUGCAGCAACGCCGCGUGGAGGAUGACGCAUUUCGGUGUGUAAACUCCUUUUAUAUGUCAAGAAAAUGACGGUAGCAUAUGAAUAAGCACCGGCUAACUCCGUGCCAGCAGCCGCGGUAAUACGGAGGGUGCAAGCGUUACUCGGAAUCACUGGGCGUAAAGGACGCGUAGGCGGGUUGUCAAGUCAGGUGUGAAAUCCUACAGCUUAACUGUAGAACUGCACUUGAAACUGGCAACCUAGAGUAUGGGAGGGGGAGAUGGAAUUAGUGGUGUAGGGGUAAAAUCCGUAGAUAUCACUAGGAAUAUCAAAAGCGAAGGCGAUCUCCUGGAACAUUACUGACGCUAAGGCGUGAAAGCGUGGGGAGCAAACA
rnacentral:rRNA from 1 species